AACAGAAGAACCCACUUCGUAAGUUCAUUGUUUCGUCACAAACUUAUUUUAAAUGGAAUUUUUACGCUAGAGUUUGCAGAACCUGGUAUGUGACGUCACAGAGGAACAAGCGGACCAUGACGCGAAUAAAGAAUGAAGAAAAAUCAGCAAGUAAAGCUGCCGAAGAAAAGCGCAAGAUGAAGAACAAAGACGAAAACGCCGAUAAAGGAUACACGGUUUGAGGUUUGAGUAUUAUAAGUAUGAGUUUAGUGUUGUAUGUGUGUCUUGUCUGCGCUGCUGUUUUCUUACUCUGCUGGACCUAAUGUUGCCAGCUAUUUUUAGUCAGUCACUACUAUAGUGCAUUUUGCAUGUCUAUGAAAUAUAUGCAUUGAAACUAUGGCGAACAUCUUGCUGGAUCAGAUUUUGUUGUUGUACACUCUAUUGGGUACUUCGUCUACAAAGGUCGAACCCUU